GAUGAAGAACGCAGCGAAAUGCGAUAAGUAAUGUGAAUUGCAGAAUUCAGUGAAUCAUCGAAUCUUUGAACGCACAUUGCGCCCGCCGGUAUUCCGGCGGGCAUGCCUGUCCGAGCGUCAUUUCACCACUCAAGCCCGGCUUGGUGUUGGGGCGCCCGGCCGCCUGGCGGUCGGGGCCCCCAAGUACAUCGGCAGUCCUGCUGGGGCUCCGAGCGCAGUAACUCGCGGUAAAACGCGCCCUCGCUCGGCGGCCUCUUCGGGCUUCCAGCCGCUAAACCCCCAGUGACGUUUUUCGAGUUGACCUCGGAUCAGGUAGGAAUACCCGCUGAACUUAAGCAUAUCAAUAAGCGGAGGA
rnacentral:misc_RNA from 1 species